AUUGAACGCUGGCGGCAUGCUUUACACAUGCAAGUCGAACGGCAGCGCGGGCUUCGGCCUGGCGGCGAGUGGCGAACGGGUGAGUAAUGCAUCGGAACGUGCCCAGUAGUGGGGGAUAGCCCGGCGAAAGCCGGAUUAAUACCGCAUACGACCUGAGGGUGAAAGCGGGGGACCGAAAGGCCUCGCGCUAUUUGAGCGGCCGAUGUCUGAUUAGCCGGUUGGUGGGGUAAAGGCUUACCAAGGCGACCAUCCGUAGGUGGUCGGAGAGGACGACGGGCCACAUGGGGACUGAGACAGGGCCCAGACUCCUACGGGAGGCGGCAGUGGGGAAUUUUGGACAAUGGGGGCAACCCUGCUCCAGCCAGGCCGCGUGCGGGAGGAAGGCCUUCGGGUGGUAAGCCGCUUUUGUUCGGGAAGAAAUCCUCUGGGCUAAUACCCCGGGGGGAUGACGGUACCGGAAGAAUAAGCACCGGCUAACUACGUG
rnacentral:rRNA from 1 species